rnacentral:rRNA from 1 species
GAGUUUGAUCCUGGCUCAGGAUGAACGCUGGCGGCGUGCUUAACACAUGCAAGUCGAGCGAUGAAGUUUCCUUAGGGAAAUGGAUUAGCGGCGGACGGGUGAGUAACACGUGGGUAACCUGCCUCAUAGAGUGGAAUAGCCUUCCGAAAGGGAGAUUAAUACCGCAUAACGUUGAAAGAUGGCAUCAUCAUUCAACCAAAGGAGCAAUCCGCUAUGAGAUGGACCCGCGGCGCAUUAGCUAGUUGGUGGGGUAACGGCCUACCAAGGCGACGAUGCGUAGCCGACCUGAGAGGGUGAUCGGCCACAUUGGGACUGAGACACGGCCCAGACUCCUACGGGAGGCAGCAGUGGGGAAUAUUGCACAAUGGGGGAAACCCUGAUGCAGCAACGCCGCGUGAGUGAUGAAGGUUUUCGGAUCGUAAAGCUCUGUCUUUGGGGAAGAUAAUGACGGUACCCAAGGAGGAAGCCACGGCUAACUACGUGCCAGCAGCCGCGGUAAUACGUAGGUGGCGAGCGUUAUCCGGAUUUACUGGGCGUAAAGGGAGCGUAGGCGGAUGAUUAAGUGGGAUGUGAAAUACCCGGGCUCAACUUGGGUGCUGCAUUCCAAACUGGUUAUCUAGAGUGCAGGAGAGGAGAGUGGAAUUCCUAGUGUAGCGGUGAAAUGCGUAGA